rnacentral:rRNA from 1 species
GAUGAACGCUGGCGGCGUGCCUAAUACAUGCAAGUCGAGCGAACAGAUGAGGAGCUUGCUCCUCUGACGUUAGCGGCGGACGGGUGAGUAACACGUGGAUAACCUACCUAUAAGACUGGGAUAACUUCGGGAAACCGGAGCUAAUACCGGAUAAUAUAUUGAACCGCAUGGUUCAAUAGUGAAAGACGGUUUUGCUGUCACUUAUAGAUGGAUCCGCGCCGCAUUAGCUAGUUGGUAAGGUAACGGCUUACCAAGGCGACGAUGCGUAGCCGACCUGAGAGGGUGAUCGGCCACACUGGAACUGAGACACGGUCCAGACUCCUACGGGAGGCAGCAGUAGGGAAUCUUCCGCAAUGGGCGAAAGCCUGACGGAGCAACGCCGCGUGAGUGAUGAAGGUCUUCGGAUCGUAAAACUCUGUUAUUAGGGAAGAACAAAUGUGUAAGUAACUAUGCACGUCUUGACGGUACCUAAUCAGAAAGCCACGGCUAACUACGCG